rnacentral:snRNA from 1 species
AGAUUCCAACUACUAUAGGGUUG